CAAACACCCAACCGUCGUUGUGUGUGACGUCACAAUGAUAAUUCCAACAUCCGGGAAUACAUCAGGUCGGGACGUGUUGUGGAAACGUCAUUCGGCGCAUCGAGCAUCGACCAAGAGGACACAGCAGAGAUGUGGGUUGUCAUGGCGAUAUUGGUGAUGAUCCUCGUUGGUGAGACAUCGCCACCUCCGCAGCAGAUUUUCCAGAAAAACGCAAUGGAGGAAACGAUGGUUUCCAAAGUUCGUGACAUGGUCGUCGUCGCAAUUGGCAUCUUGGCAUUUGUCAUGGUUACGUCAUUUGAACCAUCGUCCUGGUUCAAUCGACAGAAGAGGCACAGAAAAAAGGCCCACAUUCACUGUUUUCGAUGUGGCCGGACACAACUGAAGAUCAUGGGAAAGAAAGAGCAGCCGUUUCUUGAGGAGCUUCCAAAAAAUGAAGCAGUGGACAUGCAAAAUGUGAAGGAACAGGAGAAUGAAAGAAUGAAGUUGUGGCAGAGAGAGAAACAGAAACUACAGGAAAGGGGUGAAAAAUUGCACCGAAAAGAAGAAGAAGUAAAAGAAAGAGAGCUGAUAGUUCAGCUCGGAGAGCAAGCGAUUCAGGAAAAAGUUACGCAACAAACAUAUGAGGAAAAGGAAUGGAGAAAAGAGAAAGAAAUCAUGAAAGAACAGCAGAGGAAAAACAAGGAAGAGGAAUUGAGGAAAAAAGAUGUGGAGGAGCAAAUUAAAAAACAACAUGAAGAGCAAAAGAAAAAAAACGUUUCAGAGUGGAGGAGAAUCGAGGAAGAAGAUCAGAGAGAACUCAUGGAAUUUGUACGAUGGAGGGAAUCCGUGUAUCAAGAACAUACACGAAGAUGCCUUGAGAUCGAACAAAAAGAGAAAGAGGUGCUAAAGAGUGAGCACGUGGUCAAUGAAUUGGAGAACAGGAUUACUCAACAUGAGGGAAUGGAGCGGGGAAAACGGGCACAGUUUGAAAAAAGGAACAGGUCAAAAGAACGGGAAAUAAAACAUCGAGAGGUUGAGACGUGCCGUCAAGAGGAAGAGAUUAGAGAACGAGAAAAGGAGGUUGAGAAAUUGCAGAGGGUGAUGUACCGACGAGAGGAGGAGGAGCGUUGGCAACAAGAGCAAUUCUUAGAGACAAAAAAAAUAAAAGAGGAAGACUUCUUCCGUCGAGAAAAAGAGGUACAUCAGCUGGAGCAGGAGAUUACUAAGAGGGAAAACGAUGUGCGCACACGCGAACUCAAGGUGUGGGAAGGUGAGGACAGGAAGGAAAAACCACAAGAACAGGAAAGGCAGAGACGAACAGAGGAAGAAGAGCAAAGAGUAGAACAGGAAAAGCAGAAACUACUCGAACAAGAAAAGCACAGACAAGUUCAACAGGAAAAUGAGACGGUAAGGAAUGAAGAACUCGAGAACCCCUUUCAGAAAUCCGACGAGACCAAAGAGGAGGCAGAAGCAAGUCUUGAUGUCGAGGAGGCAGAACAUGUGCAAAAAAUUGCUGAUCGUAAAUUGCAAGCAACAGCAAUUGACAAGCAACAGUGGAAUGACAAGCAACAGCUGACACAGCAAGUUGUUCAAGGGUUCCAGCAGAAACAGAGGCCUCACUCUGAUCGAAGACUGAAACAGCAGCAGAAGCAGCAUGGUGUUGAAGGGCCGCACCACAUUCAGGACCUUCAACAGACCCCUCAGAAGAGACGCCCGUUCCCUCCUCCACCUCCCUCAUACAAGAAACCAUCUUACCGGUUGGAACGUAAGUUACCAAGAAUCUUUCCUUACAUUACAAAUUAUUCCAAACUUUAUCUAAAUUACAUGUUAUUCACAUCCAUCGUGUCCCAUUUGAUCUGUGCUUCAGAAGUGUCGAGAACAAAUGAAUGUUUUCCUUCACUCGAAGCCAGACAAGCACCAAACAAAUCUUCCAAUUGGUGGAAGUCUGGUGUGAAUGUUAACGUAUCCAUAAAUAAGUCAUUGUGAACACCUGGAUGUUCCAUAAAAUUAAUUGUUUGAAAAAUCAAAUGUUUACAAUCCCACUUUCAAUCAGCGACGGGUGACUCGAGCUUCCUUCCAUGAAGCAGUCCAUCUUUGUUCUCUUCUAUGUCAUCAGAUGAGGUUUUGUUCAUUUAAUUUGUACAGUAAGUGGGGAUUUGUGGGCUCUGCAUAAAACACAGGAAU
ensembl:lincRNA